CCCUGCCGAAGCUUCACAUCCAUAUCUGUCAUGGCCUGAGCAGCCUUCCCCAGUCAAUGCGGCAGUUCGCAUCCCUCCAGGUGCUUGCCAUAGAUGCAUGCUACGGACUCCACCGGCUGCCUGAAUGCCUAGGGGAGCUCUGCUCUCUACGCCAGCUCAGAAUCAGCGAUUGCCCGAGGCUGGCUUGCCUUCCCCAAUCCAUGUCCGGCCUCACCUCCCUUCAACAACUCCAGAUCAUCGAGUGCCAGGGCCUCGCGUCCUUACCGAGGGGGAUGAUGAGCAGCCUCGCCUCCCUUGAAAACCUGGUCGUCGAUGGCUGCCCGGGGAUCAAAUCCUUGCCUCAAGACACAAAGGGUCUCACCACUCUGAUGGGGUUGCGGAUCCGUAGGUGCCCUGAUCUGGAGAGGCGUUGUGAGGCAGGACAGGGGGAGGACUGGCACCUCAUCUCCCACAUCCCUACUUUGAUGAUUGGGUUAUCAGCGGCCUGCAUCAUCUGGUACCUUAACCAAGGGUAAAACAAGCAAAGGAGCGGGGAAAUGCCUUGCUCUAAUGCUGGGAGAAGGGGGGGGGGGGGGGAUUCAACAAAAAGAUCCCGGAUUUCAGCCGACGAGCUGGGCGACAGAGAAGAGGGAGCCGCAUGUGGCUCUUUAUGCAUGACAUAGCUGCCAUGUUAUCCGAUUGAAGCUUCCUUUCAACCAUGUCCGUGCUGAGCCGCCCGGCCCCGGGCAUGGUGCAGUGCUUCGACGAGGCCACCAAGAUUGAGGUCAAGGACCUUGUCAACCGCUAUCCUCGUCGCCGACCCCAUGCGCCACGAACACAAGAAGUUUGGCGGCUGUGGUGCCCGCGCCAGGUUCCAGAAGUCCUACCGUUGAGUGAUGGCCUGCCGAAUUUUGCGAAAGAUGGCUGUGCUUGUUGGUGGUUUCGUUUUCUGUCCAUGGAGCUGCUUAUCUGGCUGCUGCUGCUGCUGCUUUACCUUAAUGUGCAGUUAUGAAGACUAGUAAUUAGUCUCUGGAGUAUGUUUUGCUGGUCAGUCUCCCGUUCAAGUGUGUUUUGCUGUUAUAGGUUAUAGUUGCGACUGGAAUGCCUUCUCUGCUCUAAUUCAUAUUUCAUAGGCCUAAUACAUUGUUGGGAAAGAAAGAUACAAAAAGUCAGUAUCAGCUGCUUUCCCUCAGUUGAUGAACUGAUUAGGAUGGCUGAUGUGGAGUUCACUCUCAAAAAUCAUGGAGUUACUCUCACCAUCUCUGAAUGGAAGGAUGCUAGUGAUGUUGAACCCAGUUAUCAAUUGGACGAGGUUUGGGUUCAUGUGAGGGGAGUACCUCACGCUUGGAGGCAUUAUUUGGGUUUUUGGGCCCUAGGAUCGGUAAUCGGCGCCACUCUUGAUGUAGACAUGUACACCUAUAGAAAGAUGGGCGUCAUCAGACUGCUUGUUGGUGUGAUGAGCAGAGAUCCACUACCCCUGACCACCGAUAUUGUUUUUGACAAGAAGGGAUACGAGAUCACCUAUUCUAUAGAGGAUAAGAACUUCAUUCCUGCAUCUCCGGUGAUUUUUAGGGAGGAGUCUCGUAAUGAUGGUGGGGGUGGUAUGGACAAGGUUUCUGAACAAGAGGGUAAAAGUCCAGAACAUGCUUUCAAAAAGCAUAAAUUAGAUGGGAAGGGGGGUGGUGCUGGUUCUAUGGCAGGGGGUUUUGGUGAUGGAGAAGAUUCUCCAAUGCUUGGGGCUGCUGCCAUUUCACCCUUGGAGAAGGCUAAUGAACCUGUGCCUGCUGUGAUGAAGGGUUUUCCUUUGCUCAACUUGUCUGCCCUGCAUUCUGUACGUCCCUCUUUGAAUGGCCGAACUGGGGCAGAUCUGAAGCUGCAUAAGAAUGGAAUGUCAUCUGCUGCUGGGUUUCUUUCUGGUGGCAAAAGGAGCUCUGUUGUUGGGUCAUAUGAUACUAAUGGCUGCAACUUAAUGCUACAGAGUAUUCUUGAUGAGCAGAUAGUGAGUAACAUGAAAGGGGCUGACCCGACUGGUGUGAUUAACUCUGUACACACGACCAGGAUUGUGCCUGACGCAAGCAGCUGGUCCAAGAAUAUUCCUGAUGAGCAGUUAGUAAGUAACAAGAAGGGGGUUGGUCCGUCUGUUGUGCUUACUUCGGCACACACGGCCAUGAAUAUGCCAGCGGCAUGUUGCUGGUCCAUGCCUGCAUUCCAGGGACAGAGGAGUUUUGCAUUUGAAAGGGAGGGCCGGCCGAUGGAUGAUGUAAGGAAGAUUGAACGCAGUUUGCAUAUUGGGGCGGGGCAAGUAAAAUUGCCCAUCCCACCGGAGAAGAAACUGAUGCCUCCGGGGAAAGAUGAGGAUUCUACUUUGAAGGCUAUGAAGAGGGCUUCUCGUCGCAAUCUUGAUGGCGAUUUGAGUGGAUUCAAGCCGGCUGGUCAAGCGCUACGCACGGUGUCCACUUCAUCUCUUCCGAUUGGGCCGUUUCAGUCAGGCAAAACAUUUCUUUGGAUCUAGAAGUCAUGGCUAACUGUUGGCAGCAGCGAGCGGCUAAGCCCCGCGACCGCGAGCGUGCAAUGGCGAUGGCGGAUUGUCACGAUGCCGGAAGAGCAAGACUCGGCGCGAGGGAAAGCCCAGUUACAUUUAGGAAGGGGGAUGACUUGGGUAAGGUGGUAGCCUCAUCCUUGCAUUCACCAAUUCCUGUAAACUCCCGAACUUCGUGAGAGGAGUGAGCUCCGGCAGCGGUGGUGGUGCUCGUCAUCAAUCCAAACAGAUCGAUUUCGGUUGGAGGAGUGCGCGCCACCCGUUCGACGAAAGUCGUCAUCGGAAGAGCAACGUGCGCGCGUACGUCAACGGCUCAAAAGCGCGUGAGUCGCCUUCCCAUUCGUUUGUCAAAGCCCACAGUUUGUCAAGAGAGAGAGAGAGAGAGAGAGAGAGAGAGAGAGAGAGAGAGAGAGAGAGAGAGAGAGAGAGAAGUUGCUGUCCGCGAGAGACACGUUUCCAGCUCAGCAGUCAGCAUGCUCGAGCAAAGAAAAGAUUCUCAAGGGUGGGGCGGUGGGCACAAACACCCUCUGCCUGCCUGCAGCCUGCUCAUAUCAUCUCAUCUGACAUCUCCAUGUUUAUCCCCUCUCUCCAGUUCUCCAGCUCACAAGUUUCCUGGCCUCGCUUGUAUCUUUGAGCGCCUCAACUCUGCAGCACAUAUAUCCUGUAAUAAGCUCUGUCUUGCAUACACUAGCUCUAGAGUCUUUCAAGAUGAGCAAACAGAUCUGAGCUCCAGGGACUUGUGGUACAGGAUCUCUCUACAGCCUCUUCGGUGCUCGAAGCGGUGGAACUUCUGGCACAAGGGACACUUUACAGAAAGAUGACUGGUGUCGAAGCUGCCGCCAUAUCUGCUGUAGCAUCUGGAAUAUUAAAGAUUGUGGGCAACAAGUUGGCACCACUGGUUAUAAGAAAGUAUAGCUCAAUCGUGGGUGUGGAAAAAGAUCUCCAGAAGCUCCAGGUCCUAGUUGAGGAUAUAAACUCUUGGCUAGAAAGCGCGGGAUAUCAAGCUUUUGGUGAUGAUGCAUCACUUAGUUGGUUCAAACUUCAAACAGUUGAAAGAUGUUGCUUAUGCUGUUGACGAUGUUGUCGAUGAGUACCAGCUGAAGGCCGAGAGAAAUGAUGCUUCUGGUGAUGGUGAUUUUGUAUCCAGAUAUAUGCGUAGAAAACCAGAAUCGUUCAUAUUUCAGUGUAAGGCAGCUAAGAAGAUCAAGGCAAUCAAGAAGAGAUUUGCUGCAA